CGCUGGCAACAUCGGUCCAANCCUUAAAGUCAUCCUCAGUUCGGACUGGGGUCUGNAACCCGACCCCACGAAGCUGGAUUCGCUAGUAAUCGCGCAUCAGCCAUGGCGCGGUGAAUACGUUCCCGGGCCUUGUACACACCGCCCGUCAAGCCAUGAAAGCCGGGGGCGCCUGAAGUCCGUGACCGCGAGGGUCGGCCUAGGGUGAAACCGGUGAUUGGGGCUAAGUCGUAACAAGGUAUC
rnacentral:rRNA from 1 species